UUUUUUUUUCCAAAGAGAGGUUUCUCUGCGUGCUUGAGGUAUAAUGCAAGUACGGUCGUUUUAGGUUUUACCAACUGCGGCUAAUCUUUUUUAUACUGAGCGUAUUGGAACGUUAUCGAUAAGAAGAGAGCGUCUAGGCGAACAAUGUUCUU
rnacentral:rRNA from 1 species